AACGAACGCUGGCGGCGCGCCUAAUACAUGCAAGUCGAGCGAGAAGGUGUAGCAAUACACUUGUAAAGCGGCGAACGGGUGAGGAAUACAUGGGUAAUCUACCAUCGAGUGGGGAAUAACCAGCCGAAAGGUUGGCUAAUACCGCGUACGCUUCCGAGUCUUCGGGCUUGGAAGGAAAGCCGCACUGUGAGUGCGGCGCUCUUUGAUGAGCUCAUGUCCUAUCAGCUUGUUGGUAGGGUAACGGCCUACCAAGGCUUUGACGGGUAGCUGGUCUGAGAGGACGAUCAGCCACACUGGCACUGCGACACGGGCCAGACUCCUACGGGAGGCAGCAGUAAGGAAUAUUGCGCAAUGGGCGAAAGCCUGACGCAGCGACGCCGCGUGGGGGAUGAAGGGUCUUCGGAUUGUAAACCCCUUUCGGGAGGGAAGAUGGAGCGAGCAAUCGUUCGGACGGUACCUCCAGAAGCAGCCACGGCCAACUUCGUGCCAGCAGCCG
rnacentral:rRNA from 1 species